rnacentral:sRNA from 12 species
UGUGAUGGACCCUGCUCUGAUGUGCACGUCAACAGGUGGACAGUAAACUAUGUCCAAUCAAA